UACGGGGGGGGCAAGCGUUGUUCGGAAUUACUGGGCGUAAAGGGCUCGUAGGUGGCCAACUAAGUCAGACGUGAAAUCCCUCGGCUUAACCGGGAACUGCGUCUGAUACUGGAUGGCUUGAGAUUGGGAGAGGGAUGCGGAAUUCCAGGUGUAGCGGUGAAAUGCGUAGAUAUCUGGAGGAACACCGGUGGCGAAGGCGGCAUCCUGGACCAACACUGACGCUGAGGAGCGAAAGCCAGGGGAGCAAACGGG
rnacentral:rRNA from 1 species